rnacentral:rRNA from 1 species
GACGAACGCUGGCGGCGUGCUUAACACAUGCAAGUCGAGCGGAAAGGCCCUUCGGGGUACUCGAGCGGCGAACGGGUGAGUAACACGUGAGUAACUUGCCCCAGACUUUGGGAUAACCCUCGGAAACGGGGGCUAAUACCGGAUACGACACAGCUUCGCAUGGGGUCUGUGUGGAAAGUUUUUCGGUUUGGGAUGGGCUCGCGGCCUAUCAGCUUGUUGGUGGGGUGAUGGCCUACCAAGGCGACGACGGGUAGCCGGCCUGAGAGGGCGACCGGCCACACUGGGACUGAGACACGGCCCAGACUCCUACGGGAGGCAGCAGUGGGGAAUAUUGCACAAUGGGCGGAAGCCUGAUGCAGCGACGCCGCGUGAGGGAUGACGGCCUUCGGGUUGUAAACCUCUUUCAGCAGGGACGAAGCGUAAGUGACGGUACCUGCAGAAGAAGCGCCGGCCAACUACGUG